GGCCCACUGAGCUCUGUGGGUCUCUGAGGUUUGCUGUUCUAAAAUGGAAACCCGGAGAUCAUUUUGAGAUACAUUCAACUGGUAGUGUGUGUAAGUCAGGGAGCGGCCCUCUGGUGUUAUGUGGUACACAGCUGGGAGGAGGUUUGCUUCUGUGAGUAAGCUGUGACUGUUCUAAGGUUUGUGGAACAUACAGAUUGUGGAGGCUGUCAGUUCCACAGUGCACCCAGGUGUGGGAAUUCCUGAUAUAAGAGAGUUUGCUCACCCAGCAUUGCCACAUGUGAGGUGCUGCCCCAGCACGCUGUGUUCCCCACACACAGCUGGAGUCCGUUACAGGGUCAUGGCCUGCUGGGCUGACCCAAGGAAAUGUUCCACACGAAGUAUCCUGGCUAUUAGGUGCGCAAGGGACUUCUAAUUCCUUCCUCCUACUCCAGUGCUGCCAAGCGGAAGAACUGCUGUGGUGCUAACUUGCUGCUCUGACUUCUGAGCACGACCUCAGCCCUGGCUGUGGGAUGCUACCAAUGUUGUGAAAUUGUUGAGUUUUUACAGGUUUAAAGGCCAGAUGACCAUAGGGCUUUUAUGUUACCAACUUGCCCAGCACAACUGGUAAGGAGGUAUUUUUAUCUGCUCUGACAUCUCUGUUGUCACAGUAAUCUAUUCUUUGUUUUUCCUGCAGCAUAGCUAUAUAUACCAGUGCUUCUCGUAGGACUGGAAUAAGCUGGAUAUGUGCUUGAAGGACACAGCUUCACCUCCUGACAAGAUGCUGAGCAAUCCUCCUGGAGCGAGUAAAGAAAUAACCCAUGCAGCUGAGACACCGGAUGCAGGGAUCAGUUUUUCAGAUUGCUGAUAUCUGUGACCAGGAGACCUCUUGAACUGCUAUGAAGAGCUCUGUGAUCUGAGGCAACAGACAAACAGCUGUGGUCCUGGGAGGUGCAGAAUUGAAUUAAAGCAGGAUCAGCUCAGAAGCUCAACCUCUAAGGAGGACCCGUAGUCUAUUUGUACUGACCACAAGAAGCCAAACAAAGCAUCAUGACAACCCGUCCAGGAGUGAAACCUCUCCAGAAAUCUUCCCUCCGAGGAGUUCACAUUACCCAGUUUGUGGAUAAGAUUCCAAAAGGAUGCAGCACACCUGACUUUGAGCGAAAACCUGUCAGUCUAACAUUGCAGGAAGGUAAAAAUGCCAUAUUCAGAGCUGCAGUCAAGGGUGUUCCCGCCCCUGAGGUGAAAUGGAAACGUGCAAAAGGAGAAAUGAACGAUCCUGCCAAAUAUCUAAUGUUCUAUAGUCCAGCUACAAGUGAACACAUU
rnacentral:lncRNA from 1 species